rnacentral:rRNA from 1 species
UACGUAGGGGGGCAAGCGUUGUCCGGAAUCAUUGGGCGUAAAGCGCGUGUAGGCGGCCAGAAAAGUCCGCUGUGAAAACUCGAGGCUCAACUUCGAGCUGUCGGUGGAAACUUUCUGGCUAGAGUCCAGAAGAGGAGAAAUGGAAUUCCUGGUGUAGCGGUGAAAUGCGCAGAUAUCAGGAAGAACACCCCGUGGCGAAGGCGGUUCUCUGGGACGGUACUGACGCUGAGACGCGAAAGCGUGGGGAGCGAACAGG